rnacentral:lncRNA from 1 species
UAUUAUUUUUCAGGGUUUAAUUACACUAAGGACUUUUUUUGAAAAUAACCCUGUAGAAUUUUGUAAUUGGCAAAAUGACCCUCUGAAAAAUUUAUUUGUAAAACUAACCUCCCUUUCGCCACGUUGGCACCAGUGCGGACAUUUCUCGUAAAGACGGUGAAUCGUUCACCGCCUUUGCAUAUUUCUUGUGAAAGCGGUGAAUGGUUCACCGUCUUAUGAAGGCAGUGAACCAUUCACCGUCUUUAGAGCAAAUACACCCUCGCUUCCCUUACAAGGCCACCCUCACAAGGGCACCUUACCUGUGCGAUAAGACGGUAAAUGGUUCACCGUCUUAACUAAGAUGGUGAAUCAUUCACCGUCUCUAUGGCAACCCCCCACCCUACCAAAUUUGGCCAAGUCCUAAGGCGGGGCUAAAACACAGAUAAGAUAGUUAAUAGUUCACCGUCUUUAUAGUGAGGUUGCUAAGAGAGAUUUAUACUUGCAAUGUGGGUUGCUGUGGCACGGGGGAAGGCUCGGUGGGUCGACGGCGACCGGCGGCGGCGACGUCGGCUGGGGCGGCGGCGACUGGGGGCGGUGGCGACGGGGUGUGGCUCUUGGUUGGAGAGGGAUGGGCAGAGAAGGAGAGAGAGACAGAGAGAUAAGAGAGAGAAAGAGAGCGCGGAGGGAGGGAGAGGUGUCGAGGUCGGGGCUGGGUAUACCUAGGUAAGAUGGUGAAUUGUUCACCGUCUUCAUGAACAGAGUGAAGACGGUGAACAAUUCACCGUCUUAUCUAAGGAUACCCAUUGGCGGGUGUCUGCAAUAAAGACGAUGAAUAGUUCACUGUCUUUAGUGCAGCACAAAUA